AUUUAAAUAGCCAAGGGAUCAAUGUAAUGUACCUUACUUGACUGUGCACCCAAAUGAAUGCGGAUUCUAGAUGAUUUAGCUCCAUGAUAGUCUGAAAUGAACUACAUUAUGACAUGAGAAUGGUACUGCCGCUACCAUAUUCUGACUUCAAAAACCAACCUUUUUUUCCUUUACAGAGUAAAGUUCUACACCCAGGAAAUCGUAUUUUUCCGUUAGGAUCUGCUCUACAGAAUGACACGGUCUUCUCUAAUUCCUCCCUCAACUGAAGAAACAAGUGAUCCUUUUGAACAUCUUGUAGCAACCAUCACUCAUCAGAGUCAUCUUUGCCCCUUGCCUCUCACUGUACAACCAAUAAUAUGGAACUAUGACCACUGCCUCCGUCUAUAUCCUACUCCACACACGGUAUCAAAUCUCUUUAUCAGAUAGUGUUGGGAGAUCAAAGUGAACAAAAAGCCUUUAAAUAUACGGGAAUAACAUGUUUCAAUCCUGGAUCAUUCGCUCAUGAUAGCACAUUUGCAGUCUAUCGUCCUUGUUCUGAAGAAGUCAAGCUUUCUGCUGUGGAGGAGAAUGACUAAAGUUGCAAUAUUAUGGUCAUUAUUGAUUAUAGCAUCUCAUAACUCGAUUCUUAAUGAGGGAUUCAUGGGGAAAUUCAGAAGUAGUACUAGCUAAUCAUAUGAUAGAGGAUGAUUAUUGUGUCAAUUGCAUCAUUUGUGUAACUUGACAUACUUACCACUGCAUUUCUAAAGAGAAUAUCUACGAACCGUUCUUUUCUAAUUCCGGUACUUGUGCUUGCAAAGAUGUAUGAUUAAUCCAUACUUAGACUU